GGCGAGAUGGCCGAGCGGUCUAAGGCGCCAGACUAAGGACCAGCUCAUUCGAUGAGCAUCUACAAUCUGGUCUUUCGGGGCGUGGGUUCGAAUCCCACUCUCGUCA
rnacentral:tRNA from 1 species